rnacentral:piRNA from 1 species
UUAAGCAGGAAGAAAAUAUUGCAAGUGG